rnacentral:rRNA from 1 species
CUUGUACUGAUUGAGAUUUUAACACGAAGUGAGUGGCGAACGGGUGAGUAACACGUGGGUAACCUGCCCAGAAGUAGGGGAUAACACCUGGAAACAGAUGCUAAUACCGUAUAACAGAGAAAACCGCAUGGUUUUCUUUUAAAAGAUGGCUCUGCUAUCACUUCUGGAUGGACCCGCGGCGUAUUAGCUAGUUGGUGAGGUAAAGGCUCACCAAGGCAGUGAUACGUAGCCGACCUGAGAGGGUAAUCGGCCACAUUGGGACUGAGACACGGCCCAGACU